rnacentral:rRNA from 1 species
GACAGAGGGUGCAAACGUUGUUCGGAUUUACUGGGCGUAAAGGGCUUGUAGGCGGUUUGUUAAGUCUGGUGUGAAAUCUCCCGGCUCAACCGGGAGGGGUCAUCGGAUACUGGCAGACUAGAGACGGGUAGAGGAAAGCAGAAUUCCCGGUGUAGCGGUGAAAUGCGUAGAUAUCGGGAGGAAUACCAGUGGCGAAGGCGGCUUUCUGGGCCUGUUCUGACGCUGAGGAGCGAAAGCGUGGGGAGCAAACCGG